rnacentral:sRNA from 1 species
AAAAACCCUAGAUUGCAGCGGAAAGCAUUUUUUUAUAAAGCCGCUAUUUUUUCUUGACCUGAAAGAGCGACCGCAGGAAGCUCCUUUGAGGGCUUAGAAAAAAAGUCUUUAUAGAAAAAUCUUGAAGCGGAAAGCUGGAUUAGGU